AACUCAAAUUCAAAUCCAAAGGCAUUUGAACCUGAAUUUAUAAACAACAGAGGCAACACUCUUUCCCUGGACUUACACAUUCCAAGGACCUCUAGAGUUCUUCAGGCUUAAAGUUCUACCCUUCCUCCUAAAGGAUGAAUUACUGGCUUAAAAUCACCUCCCCUGAACUAAGGCAACUCAUAUUAGUUACAAGGGGACAAAUCAAGGUUGUUGAAACAUUGUUGUUUGUUGUUCUUUGGGUUGGUCUAGGAACUGCCCCACUGCUCCUUGAUCAACACAAGAAUAUCUCCCUUGGCUCUGGAAGAACUGGUCCUGUUACUGCUUUAUCUGACACAAAGUCCCUGCCAUCUUAUGGCCUCUUCCUUUAGCCUUGGGAGGAUGCCCUGGAGGAUUUUUUGAUUUAUUGAAGGGACUUCAUGGACACACAGAUAUCUUUCUGGAGCUCAUUCUGAUUUUGUAUGUCACACAAAACUUUUUUCCAAAACCGGAAACUUUUGUUGUCAAAAGAAUUGAGCUUCUCCUUCGAGCCGGAAUCGAACCAGCGACCUAAGGAUAACCAAGGGCGGGCACCUCUACAGUCCUCCGCUCUACCAGCUGAGCUAUCGAAGGAAGCUGCAAACCCUUGCCCAGGACGACACCAUAAAGCAGCUACGCUGCCUCCUCUCUUCCCACAUGCUGCCUGCCUGCCUGCCUGCCUGCCUGCCUGCCAGUGUUUCUCCUAGCUCUCGGAGAAGAAAAUACUUCCACCCCCUCUCCUCUUUCUUCUCUCUCACCUCCCCGCAGCAUCUCCCUGAUAUCGCUGAUGGGUCCUGGAGAAGCUUUCCACAAACUCCCUGGCCGAGCGCCUGUCCUAGGGACCCGAAGGGGGUGGGACGGUCGGAGAGGCUGCUGGGGAGGGGAGGGGGCCUUUAAUCUAGAGGGGCUCUUAUUCUAGAGUGUAGAUUUACCUUGCGUAGGGGAUUUCUAGAAAAUGGAUUGUUCUUAAAAACAAAGCGCCACGUGGGAACUUCGCCCAGAGACCCCUCCCAAGCCGGCGAAAGGCCUUGCUUUGGACUCCUCGUUUCCCUGUUCUCUAUUCGUACUUCGCCUUCUCUUCUCUCCUUAGCUUUUUCUUCAUCCCUGUCUUGCUGACUUCCUCUCUGUUUCCAUCUAUCCGUCGUCUCUCUUCUCUCUGGCCUGUCUCUUCUUUCUUUUCUCUCAGUCUCUACCUCUUUUGUCUUUUUAUUCUAUCAUUGCCCCUUUCUCCGUUUCUGCUCUCUUGCCUUCUCGGUUUCUUCCGUUUCUCUCUCUAGCUGUCUUCCCUCUGCCCAUUUCUUCUUUCUGUCUCGUCUCCUUAGCUGAGUGUUCCCCCUCUGUCUUUGUCUCUUUUCUCUUUGUUUCUCUCUAGCCGUUUCUUCUCGAUUUCUACUUUCUCUUUCUUCCUGACUCUGCCACUAUCUCGUUAUAGAGGUGGCCCUGAUCAACCUUUUAUGUAUUUUUUCAUUGAUCAAGUACAGUAUUCUCCUCUCCCCCCGGGAACAAAAGGAAAAGAAAACUCCAGGAGCAAAUAUGCGCCGCUUCCUUUUAGGGCGUCCCAGCCUUCUUUGGAGUGGAGGGAACUCUUCGGUUUCUUGGUCUACUGAAGCAUCAAACUCCAUUCCACAGCUAAGCGCUGCUGGGACCCUACGGACCUCCCAACUCCCUGCCGCCAAGGGGCUUAUAUUCCACUGGGAAAAUAUGUUCGUACACAGACUAGUUACUAAAGGUAAUUUGAGAAAAUACUCCCUUGCCCUCAAGAUGCUUAUAUUCCCUAGGAGAAGUAUCUAUAAAUACAGACAAGUAAAUAUAAGGGUUAUCUGGAAAGGUUUAUUUAAAUCUGAAAUCUCUACAACUGUACAGUGGAAGGAAAAAAAAUUGGAAAACAUUGUCUCCUUCGAGCCGGAGUCGAACCAGCGACCUAAGGAUGUCAGGCGAGCACUUCCCACUACAGUCCUCCGCUCUACCAGCUGAGCUAUCGAAGGGACACAGGAGCUUCGUGCGCCCCCGUGAGACUCAACACUUAACAGCGGGGGUUGACAACUUUUUUCGUCUGGAAAGGUUCGUCUCUUCGCGCUUGCGCACAUCCAACUACCUACUGGCUACCGAGACUUAAAGACUGACCUAAACCAAGGUCCCAGAGUCCUGCGCAGGUGUCCACCGAAGCUGUUGGCCAGAUCUUGGCUCCACUCCGACCACUACCGUCUUCCCCGACCCCACCCUCACCCCUUCCCACAGUGGCUACAGUUUAGCACAUGAACCCGCCCAACUCAUGCUGCAAACUCAUUGGUAGAUAGGACGUUCCACUCCCGCCCUUCUAGACCUUGUGUAGACGCCCUCCCCCGCCCGCUUUCGGGAGGGCCAGUGGCGCAAUGGAUAACGCGUCUGACUACGGAUCAGAAGAUUGUAGGUUCGACUCCUACCUGGCUCGGUUUUUUUCCCCCCAAGGAAUGGUUGGAAGGGCGAGGUGGAACGGUGUGUUAAAUUGGACGAUCACCAUUUUCGUUUAUUUCUUCUUCCAACCAUAUAGGAUAAUUAAAAUAUACGCCACAAUACUAUUCUAUAUGAUCCCAGACCAUACUAACACCAAACCAAUGACUUUUGUAAAGCACUCUGCACAAUAGGCGCUUUACAAGCAUUUGCUCUCUGGCCGAUCUAGCCAACCUUGGAUUCUGCGUGGACCAAUCAGCGAUCGAUAUUCUGUACAACGGCAGAAGCCUUAGCCCACAAUCUUGUAGUCUCAGUCCUGAACCCCCAAAUCAGAUAACAAAACUAAUUAAUAGGAGUUCCCUCCUGGAGAAGCCCACUCCUUUUUGGGAGAGCAUUAGUAGCAGACGUUUUUUGUUCCCCUGACAUCAAAUCUGAACUUGCCUCUUCAACUUCUCCUCAUGGUCCCUAGUUUUUGCCUUCUCGGGUCAAAUUCAAAUCUAAUCUCUCUUCCUCACAACCAUCUUUGGUUGACUUCAGCUACUGGGAACUCGAAUUAGUCUUUCUGUCCUUGAUGGCAAUCCAUCCAUCCUUGAAUUUAAUUUUUGAUGAAAAAAUCUUUAACACUAAAGUAAUUUUGGAGUGGAAUAUAUGAAAGAAAGCCUGUGCUGUGUUGUUUACUACUAACAAGCAAUCUUGCAAUGACUCACAUGGUAUAUACAUUUGUAAAUAGGAUUCCAGAUUUUUUUUUGCCUUUACAUACUUUGUCUUUGUUUUGUGGUAAAUGACAUGAAUUUUAUGUUAAGAUUAAAUGCGUUUUCCUGA